GUCGGCAGUCUACCUUGGGGUAUACCCACGGUAGUAGUUUAUCGGUAGACGGUGCGCAAGCUACGAACUUGAUGGUGACGCAAGACACGGAUAAGGUUUUUAUCCAGGUUCGGCCGCCGUAUGGGCGUAAUACCUACGUCCUGUGUCUGAUUGUAUUGAUGUGGAUUCUGUUGAGUUGAGAUUAGAUGUCCAGAGGGGUCCCUUGCCUCUCGUUAUAUAGUCCAGAGGAUAGGGUUACAAAUCUGAAAACUAAUCCUAGUCAGUUACAAUUGCCAUAGAUAGUAACCGACUAGAAUCAUGUUUGAUCUCUACGUCUUGUUUCCUUGCGCGAGACUCCGAUCAGUUGGAUCAAGCCUCGAACUGUCUUGUGAUGGGCCAAGUCUCCUGGCCCAAGUCUAGCGGUAAGGGUAUAGGGGUUUAUACCCCCACAGACCUUUAGUCCCGGUUGGUGUAACCAACUAGGACUAAAGCCCGACCGUUAGUCCCGGUUUGUGCCACUGACUGGGACUAAAGCUUUUGUUUCGGUUUGUGCACUGCUACACGAUCGGCCUUUAGUCCCGGCCAGAAAGGGGCUUUAGCUAUGGAUCCCAAGCUAGGACUAGGCACCGGGGCUAAAGCCCCUCCUUUAGUCCCGGUUGGUAUUAUCAGCUGGGACUAAAGAGUGCUGCCAGCGGUGCCACGCAGCAGCACCCUUUAGUCCCGACUGGUAAUACCGGCCGGGACUAAAGGGCCCAUUGGUUUUUUCUUUUUCUUUCUUUUCAGUUCUGUUUUUAGUUUUGUUUAUUCAUUUAAUAGGUUUUCCAAUAUGUAUUCUUUGCUGCUAAUAGCCUAAUAUAUACAUAUAAUAUAUAUAUUAGCAGCAUAUGACAAUAAGCUUAUUUUAUAUAACUACAUAUAUAUAUAUAAAUAUAUACACAUAAAUAUAUAGAAGUUGUUCUCCAAAUCUAUUACUGCACAAGUUGUACUCCAAAGUUAGUACUCUAAACCUAUUACAAGUUGUACUUCAUCAUCCAAAGAUCUACAGGGCAUACAAAUGAUCAUCAUUGUUUGAAAUCAUCGUCUGGUUAGGAUUAUAGUGGAACUCACCGCUUGGAUUUAUGACUUGUUCCCGAAGAAAUCCCGCUAUUGCCUCUUAUAUUGCUUGGAGUUGUUCAUGUUGCAUAAGUUUUAGCUUCAACCAUUCAGUCUUCAAUUUGAAUUAAAAGAAGGUAUUAGUUAUAUCAAGAUUAUCAAUAGUAAUUCGAGAGAAAAUAAAAAGAGACAUGUGUUACAUACUCUAAGGUAUUCUUCAGGAAUUCUAUUUGUUACUGCCAUAAUAUACUCGCAAACAUAGUAUCCACAUAAGUUGUACCCGGUUCUUGUCUCAAGAUCCACUAUAUGAUGUAAAGAUUCAUCUUGUAAAAAAGAUAAAAUAUAAGAUACACCACGUACAUUGACGAAGGAUAAACUUACUGUAGCUAUAUUAUCUUUAGUGGCGCCCUACAUUGACUUAGAUGUUCCCAAACAAUGAAUCUUUCCCAAACCCUAAACCAAUAAUAUAUAUGAAAUAAGAGAGUUGGAUCGUUAAGUAUACAUAUAUACAAGCUUAUUCUACUUUGCGCGUGCAAUGGAUCGAAAUUACCUUUGGAUGAUGUCUAUCAUAUCUCGGUAAUCUUGUUGCAGUUUCUUCAUUGAGUCAUAGAUUACCAACUUACUUUCAGCAAGAUCGAUGACUAUGAGUAUCCAGUGAACAUAAAUUCAGGAACAUGGCUUAUAUGGUGUCAAACAACAGAUUUCAGAUUAUUUACAUGCUACUAAUACCAUAAACAAGUUUGCCCCAAAAGUAGAGCACCAGCAUAAGCACCAAUUGUUUUAUAUAAUUUAAUUAAGGAAACAAGCCAAAUCUCAAACAUAAAUUACAUAUCAUAGAUAUAUUACUCAAAAA
rnacentral:lncRNA from 1 species